rnacentral:tRNA from 1 species
GGGCGCAUAGCUCAGUGGGAGAGCACCUGCCUUACAAGCAGGGGGUCGCAGGUUCAAAUCCUGCUGCGCCCAC